GCCGGAGUAGCUCAGUUGGUAGACAACUCACUUGUAAUGAGUAGGUCGGGGGUUCGAGUCCUCUCUCCGGCUCCA
rnacentral:tRNA from 1 species